CAUAUAUUUAUUCAUGUACAUUACAGUGUAUCACCUUUAAUUUCAGAAGAAGCAGCACGGGUCUAUGCAGAAUUAAAUACAGCAAAGAAAACCAGCAAAACUGCAAAAGGGAAAUCUAUGCAAGGUGACAAAACUGGUCUUACCAAAGGCAAACCAAAGGAUGGAAAAGGCCAAAUUUCUGUGGACACCUUUGCUAAUGCGGCUUCUGCUGGGGAUGAAGUGAUGUAUUAUAACUCCGGAUACGAUGACCGCUUGGAAACCGCAGACCUGACCAGAUGAAAAGUCCUCACGUACUGGUGGACGCGGAUGCGAAACUCGUGGGCAACAAACCCAUCACACACCCUUCUGAGAACAUGACGACCUACGCCAGCAUUGCCUUUGAGGAGUGGGGACCGUCAGUCGUAUAUGGCGCUGAGGAAGAGUAUGGUCAUCAGAGUUCCUAAAGCUAAAUAGCCUUAUAAUCAAAGCACAACCCCAUUCCUUCUCAAUCAAUGAGCGGAACGCCUGUGGUUUGGACAACAAAUUGUGCCCCCUUUUGGCUGACCUACACCUGUUUUGGUAUGAAGACGACUACGUGCAGAAAUUAUUUGGGAGUGGUCCUCACCGUGUCCGAUCUUUCUCAGUCACAAAACGAUAUAUUUGUUAUCUGCUGGCUUUAAACAAUCCAUGUAUAGCAAAUGCUGUGGAACAUAUAUACUGGAUUUAAAGGAAACCACAGGUUCUGCAGAUGGUAUAUCUUACCUGGGCCUAUGUUUGUACACGAACCUAAAGGAUUCCUCUCUCGCGGACUGUGCGGCAGGAGAGAUAACUUCAGUUUUGGCUUUAGUUUGUUCUUACUUAGACAGCAUUGUACCGAAGGGACCUAUGUAUGGCGUGUAUAUCUCUCACCUGGAACCAUUUGUUAGAUCCUGCGUGUUGUUCGACGAUCUCAAUUAACGCCACAGGUUGAUGCUGAGAAAGAUGGUGUGUCACGGUUGUUCCAUCGGACUCCAGGUUCUGAAGUCGGUAUAAUACUCGUGUAAGUAGAUGUGGACAGAGCUCUGCUCAUGGUAGUGUCCAGUUCCGCUUUGUCCGGUACUGGGCUUAUGUAUUCAUCGUGUUGAAUUGGAUGGCUUUGGAUAUAUGAACUGUUGCAAUCAAGCGACAACGGAGAUACAUAUUUUAUUGUUGACAACUUUGCUGGUGUGAGUGUAUACUAUCUUAGUUCUUUUGUAGUUUGUGUUAUACUUUCUUAGUUCUUUGGUAGUUUAUGUUAAGCGUUGUUUUGCUAAUUAACCUUGGGAUUAUUGACAAGAAACGUUCAUAUUGGUUUAUGGCUGGUAUACGAAUGCGUUUAUCGAAUUCUGCGAGUCAGUAUGGCAAAUCACGCCCCGUGAACACGGCUUUAUGCCAAUAUAGGUAUCUUUGGGUUAUUUUCUCUUCUUUCCCUGCCACCUUGGGAAUCAUUAAUUGUUAGGACAAAAUGAGUUAACUAGACGAUUUAAGGCCAUAUAGUAAGUUGACAUAACAAAGUAAGUACUACUGACAGCGAUGUAAAUAAAGCCGGAAUGUAGUAACCUACCCUUAUAUUGACUUUUGCCUGUAAAUUACUCUGAAGUAAGCCUUGUCAGUAUAGGGAGUGGGUUCUUGAUAUGACUUUACCUGGUGUUUUCCCAAAAUUUGUUUUGUACCAAAUAGUAGGUUUGAUACUUGUUUUCACACAACAAGAAGAAAACAAUGCACAGAUUUCAUUGACGAUGUAACUCCAGAUUUUGUUAAUAUCACCCUUACAUCAAAAACGGUGCAUCAUCUGUUUGCACUACGUAAAUAACAGUGAUUGAACGAAUAGGACAUCACACAAAGUAUAAGUUCCGCUGUCGUACAAAUGAAAUAUUCUUGAGUACGCCGUAAAACGCCAAUGAAGUAAUAUAAAUAAAUAAAUAAAAAGUAAAAUAUGUAUAUGAGACAUUACUUUUCGAAGCCUUAAGCUGUAACUCAAGCGCCCAUAAUUCCCUUAUUGUCCAUUAACAUUGAAAUUAUAUACGUCUGUGUUCCGUAUUAUAAUUAAAGCGGCCUCUUGUCAACUGACCUAAGUUAGGGUUUUAUUCCAACUGUUCAUGUACAUGCGUAAACAGUACCGAAUGACAGGCCCCUUUGCACAAAAAAUAUGGAGUGAUGUUAAUUGCAAUUUAUUAAACGUCACUGGUCUAAAAUUACUGAAAAUGUUGUAUUGUCAUCACAUUCAACAU